GGCGAACUGUGGCUUAGUGGUUAUCAUGUUCGCCUCACACCUCCAGGGUCGGGGGUUCAAUACCCACCGUGGCCC